rnacentral:misc_RNA from 1 species
GUAGGUGAACCUGCGGAAGGAUCAUUACCGAGCUAGGGUCUCUGGCCCGACCUCCAACCCUCUGUGUACCUGCCUUUGUUGCUUUGGCGGGCCGUCGGGCCACCAUGGCCUGCCGAGGACCUCUGAGGUCAGCGAGCGCCCGUCAGAAGCCUUUCUAAAAACUCCCAUGUACAGUUGCAGUCUGAGUAGGCAUUUAAUCUAGUCAAAACUUUCAACAACGGAUCUCUUGGUUCUG